UCGCUAGUAAUCGCGGAUCAGCAUGCCGCGGUGAAUACGUUCCCGGGCCUUGCACACACCGCCCGUCACACCAUGAGAGUCGGGAACACCCGAAGUCCGUAGCCUAACAGCAAUGAGGGCGCGGCCGAAGGUGGGUUCGAUAAUUGGGGUGAAGUCGUAACAAGGUAGC
rnacentral:rRNA from 1 species